rnacentral:rRNA from 1 species
AAUCCAUAGGUUAAUGAGGCGAACCGGGGGAACUGAAACAUCUAAGUACCCCGAGGAAAAGAAAUCAACCGAGAUUCCCCCAGUAGCGGCGAGCGAACGGGGAGGAGCCCAGAGCCUGAAUCAGCAUGUGUGUUAGUGGAAGCGUCUGGAAAGGCGCGCGAUACAGGGUGACAGCCCCGUACACAAAAGCGCAUGUGCUGUGAGCUCGAUGAGUAGGGCGGGACACGUGGUAUCCUGUCUGAAUAUGGGGGGACCAUCCUCCAAGGCUAAAUACUCCUGACUGACCGAUAGUGAACCAGUACCGUGAGGGAAAGGCGAAAAGAACCCCGGCGAGGGGAGUGAAAAAGAACCUGAAACCGUGUACGUACAAGCAGUGGGAGCACAGGUUUACCUGUGUGACUGCGUACCUUUUGUAUAAUGGGUCAGCGACUUAUAUUCUGUAGCAAGGUUAACCGAAUAGGGGAGCCGGAGGGAAACCGAGUCUUAAUUGGGCGUUAAGUUGC